UACAGAGGUCUCAAGCGUUGUUCGGAUUCAUUGGGCGUAAAGGGUGUGUAGGUGGCGCGCUAAGUCGGGUGUGAAAUUUUGGAGCUUAACUCCGAAACUGCAUUCGAUACUGGCGUGCUUGAGGACUGGAGAGGAGACUGGAAUUCAUGGUGUAGCAGUGAAAUGCGUAGAGAUCAUGAGGAAGACCAGUGGCGAAGGCGGGUCUCUGGACAGUUCCUGACACUGAGACACGAAGGCCAGGGGAGCAAGCGGG
rnacentral:rRNA from 1 species